GGGAGACUGAAGAAGCCAGUCUGUCCGACACUGGGAGGCUCAGUCCAAAACAAAACAAUAACAAAACUAAAUUAAAGGCACUGGAGAAUGCCAGCUGGGACGACUUGAUUAGCGGUGCUUCUUGUGGUUUUACCUUGUAGCCAGGGUGGCCUGGAACAUGACACCCUCCUACGUUGGCCACCAGAGUGAGAGGGACAGUCUCCCAGAGGGUUUCUUUGUGUAGCCCUGGUAGGUCUUGAUUCCUGGCCUUUGCCUCCUGACACUGAAGAGAUUUCCUAGCAGACAAAUGUCUUUUAUGGUGUGUGAUAGGUUAAUUCUCUGCUGCCUGUGAAGUGAGCCAAUUCAAGCCAGAUUAGAUUAUACUAAAGGAGUCCAUUUGUGUGAAGUUUGGGCCAAGGAUGUGGGACCAUAAAGAUCUUGAGCAGCAACACAACAAGAAUAAAGGAAGAUGGACACCUAACACUUUCAGUCUAGUGGGCCAAUGACCUGGCUCUGCAACUACCUGCAGAAAGGGUUCACCCCUAAAGAGAUAGUUAGAAUAAUUAUCCAUUUAAUGAGAUACUGUGCCUUCCCUGCCCAGAAUUCCCACACCCCAGCAGGUCACCACACGUGCCUUUCUUUUAGGAUCUUAGAAACCAUGUAACUUUUCCUUUGUUCUAUCUUGGCUGCAAGUGGCUGCCCGCUGCUACUGUGUCUGACCUCCACCGUCAGAUUAGCUCAGAUUAGCUUGAAUGGGAUGGGAUUGUUUUUUCUUUUUCUCUUCUCCAGUCCCCUCUGGGAAGCUACUGAGAUUUCCAGCUUCUCUGCCUGACCCUGAUUUAGUUUUAACUUCUAAUACAAUUGUCCUCCAUCUCCU
rnacentral:lncRNA from 1 species